GAGAGUAAACAGUGCGUGAAACCGCUCAGAGGUAAACGGGUGGAGUUGAACUGCGAACCCCGAGAAUUCAACUGGUGAGUGUGGUAUGAGCUUGGCAUAAUGGUUGGCUUUGCGGGUCUGCUUAGCUGCAGGUCUUCACCUCUUGGUGGAGAUGCGCGAUACACUUGUCAAGUGGUGCGCGCUCGUUGAGUUACUCGGACAUGCUUGCCAGUGCACUUUCUCGGGGUGUUCACCACGACCGGCGCCGCUACUUGUCUAAUAUGGUUAAACCGGUCUUGCUUGGUCCUUGUGGCUUUGCUUGAUCGGGAUGGCAGGUAACUCGUUAACUUGUGUGUUGGCUUCGGUUGACAUGCGCUUGGUUUUCGAGUGUAAUCAGCUGACUGUAUUGGUGCUAUGUAGUGCGUCGGAGACGGCGGCUUGUGGUGUGUGCCUGCGUGCCUAUUUGCUGACGGAACCGGGUUUGGUUAUUUUGUUGCCUGUUCUGCAGGCCUGGUGAUGGCCCGGUUUCGCUUGGUGGAUGGGGGCGUGUGUGACACUUAUCAGGGCCUAUAGUCUGUGGUGUUGUGGUAGACUAUCCACCUGACCCGU
rnacentral:rRNA from 1 species